rnacentral:lncRNA from 1 species
AGCUGGCAGUCAGAGGAUAGGCCUGCUCUUAUCUUUCCCAUCCUAAGGAUCCCUCAACUAAGAGCAGGCAGAGUCGUGAGAAGGGGCAGAGUGGAUACUGCUGGCGUUUGCAGCCCUCCAUAGGUCAGGGAUUCGAGCAAAGAACACCCAGCCUAGAUCAGAGUUUCUUUGUGUAGCCCCGGCUCUCCUGGAGCUUGCUAUGUAGAGCAGGCUGCCCUCCAACUGAGAGAUCCUCCUGUCUAAGCCUCCUGAAUUCUGGGAUUUAAGACAUGCACCACCGGCAGCUGGGCCGACACAUUCUGUCUAUGGACUACUGUUUCUGUUCCCUGGGUCUGGGCCCCUGAUGGGAAAGGAUGAGGGCUCCUG